rnacentral:rRNA from 1 species
UAUUGCGCAAUGGGGGAAACCCUGACGCAGCAACGCCGCGUGAGUGAGGAAGGUCUUAGGAUUGUAGAACUCUUUUAUUUGGGAAAAAUGACCAUAUGGCUAAUAUCCAUGUGGAGUGAUGGUACCAAAGGAAUAAGCACCGGCUAACUUCGUGCCAGCAGCCGCGGUAAUACGAAGGGUGCAAGCGUUGUUCGGAAUCAUUGGGCGUAAAGCGCGCGCAGGCGGAUCAGCAAGUCAGAUGUGAAAUCUCGAAGCUCAACUUCGAAACUGCGUCUGAAACUGCUAGUCUAG